rnacentral:lncRNA from 1 species
AAUUUCAGUUUGGUUAAUUUCCAUCUGUGUCAACCAAAAUUGAAAAGCUGCCAGAGACUCCACAUGUGGAGUUGGAAGAGUCCGUGUACAUUGUGGGGAGGGAGCAUUGGUGGGAAGAUGGGGAAAUGAGGGGCUCUCAGCCCUGGGUUAUUGCUUCCUGCCUGCCUCCUGCACUGUGAGCGGGGAGAGGUCGACCAGGAGGCUGCUCUUCUGCCCAUAGCGGGGUACUCUGACCUCUUCUCCCUCUUCCCUUCUUUGCCACACAUCAGCUCCUCUGGGAAGCUGAUUUGCUCCAGGGACAGGAGGUGGGGGAAAUUGCCUGUUAACCUUCCCAACACAUCACCUCAAGUUAAAAUUGGUGGAUUUCCAGAAUUUGUAUAGGAUGGGAAUGGGGACGACACACUUUUGAGCUAGUAGCUUCUGCUCGUUUUGUUAUCCCGUAAAUGUUGUCUUCCCAAAAGGUGAUUGAUUGGAGCAGAGUUAGAGACAUUGGUGACAGCAGCUACCAUGUCUCUGCCUCUCCCCUAAACACCUCUGCACUUUUGUAGGCUCAACAAGUACUGGGGAGCCUGCCACCACUGUAUGCCUUUGAGGCCCCUGCCCUGCCUCCCUGGCUGGCCACGGAGCUCGCCCUCCCUGGUAGGGGGUGAGUUUGGAAGUGAGAGGCUGGUGUGGGUCUGUCCCAUGAGCUGACUCACACUUGCCUCACCACACAUACCAUCAGAAGACCCACGUGGUGGAGCUACCGCUGCUGCUCCCCACAGUGCACCUAGGCACCCUCCUGUCCUUCC